rnacentral:rRNA from 1 species
CUGAGAGGACGAUCAGCCACACUGGGACUGAGAUAUGACCCAGAGUCCUACGGGAGUUAGCAUCCGGGAAUCUUGCACAAUGUGCGCAAGCCUGAUGCAGUGACGCCGCGUGGGUGAUGAAGUGUCUGCGGAUCGUAAAGCCCUGUCAGGAGGGAAGAGACCCGACUGUAGCUCCAAAGGAAGCUCCGGCUAACUACGUGCCAGCAGACGCGGUAAAACGUAGGGAGCUAGCGUUGUCCGGAAUAACUGGGCGUAAAGGGCACGCAGGCGCGUCUGAAAAGCGGUGGUUGCAAUCUCGAGGCUCAACUUCGAAAGUGCUCGCCGAAGUAUCAGACUAGAGCAUGGAAGAGGACAAGUGCAAUUCCCGGGUGUAACGGUGGAAUGCGUAGAUAUCGGGAGGAACACCAGUGGCGAAGGCUGCUGUCUGGAACAAUCGCUGACGCUGAGGUGCCGAAAGCCAGGGGAGCGAACGGGAUUAGAUACCCCCGGUAGUCCUGGCCGUAAACGAUGCUCACUAGGUGUUACCGGCAUUAACCCCGGUAGUGCUGUUCUGCUUACGCGUUAAGUGAGCCGCCUGGGGAGUACGGCCGCAUAGGCUGAAACUCAAAGGAAUUGCCGGGGGCCCGCACAAGCGGUGGAGCAUGUGGGUCACUUGGAUGCUACGCCAAGAACCUUACCAGGGCUUGACAUGUUGGGACCCGCCUGAGAGAUCAGGCUUUCUCAGCAAGGAGACCCCAUCACAGCUGCUGCAUGGCUGUCGUCAGCUCGUGUCGUGAGAUGUUGGGUUAAGUCCCGCUCUGAGCGCAACCCUCACCGGAUGUUGCCAUCGGUUCGACCGGGCACUCUUCCGGAACUGCACUGAGUAAUCAGGAGGAAGGCGAGGAUGACGUCAAGUCCGCAUGCCCCUUAUGUCCUGGACUGCACACGUGCUACAAUGGCCGGU